GAGCAACUUAGGAUUUUAGGCUCCCCGGCGCAUCUCGAACUAUGCCGGGCCAAACCCACGGGGGCUGGCGGUCCCCGUGCGGUUAAAAUCAAACCGCUGGAG
rnacentral:ncRNA from 1 species